UUGAGUCGCGGUGGCAGCAAGGUAAGUAGGGCACUCCAGACGUCCCUCUUCCCAGCAACGCCCUCCAGCUCCUCCUGGGGGGCCCAAAGGCGUUCUCGGGCCAGAUUGGACAUGUAGUCCAUCCAGCGAGUUCUGGGUUUACCCCGGGGUCUCCUCCCAGUUGGACGUGCCCGGAAAACCACCAAAGGAAGGCGGCCAGGAGGCAUCCUAAUCAGAUGCCCGAACCACCUCAACUGGCUCCGUUCGACGCGAAGGAGCAUGUCCCUGAAUUGACAGGUGAAGAUGAGAUGCCACCAAAACGGAGAGGGGAAAAAAAUAAUCUACAUCCCCUCAAAACCCACCAAGCCGCCAUGAGCCUCGGAGUUACCCAGUUUUUGAGCUUGAUGGGAGGCAGCAGCAUUGGGGACACUGUGAGGAGAAUCCUCUGGAAACUUGCGACCAAUGACGCCUGGUCAAAUUACAGCCUGAAAGGCCUAAAAGGACAGCGGCCCUUCAUGGGGACAGCACUCCACCAUACUGCUUUAAGAGCUUGUGCUGCAUAGUUUCCAAGAGUCAGUGAGAAGGAAAUGGAGGCAUGUAUAAGGGAUACCCUUACGCAUGCCCUUCACCGUGCCAAGGUGGUCCCGAUACCUGUAUGUUUUGCACUUUGAUGCCAUUCUUAAAUUCAUAGUACCUGCUCACUUAUAUCAAACAAGCCAAGGUAGCGUAGCACUUUAUGGCACCAAAGGAGGACAUGCAAAACAUUAGUGUAACCAAUUACUUUUUUUUUACCUUUCACUUUUUCCCUUGAAUGAACCUUUGCUUCUGUCACUUAUGAUUUAUGGACACUUAUUCAUAGUUUAACCAGGGAAAAUCUCUUUUUGUCAUAUCAAUAUCCACACUUGACAUGGCAACACAUUUGGUUAAUAUGCUAAGUUCCCUCAUAGUGAGUACUUACACAGUAAUUCAAAGCAAUUAAAAAUUAACUGAAGUGAUUGGCAAAUAUCGUUAUAUUGUUGUAGGCAGGGCGGCACAGUGGCACAGUGGUUAGCACGAUCGCGUUACAGCAAGAAGGUCCUGGGUUCGAGCCCUGGGUUGUCCAACCUUGGGAGUCAUGCCGGGUCGUCCUCUGUGUGAAGUUUGCAUGUUCUCCCCAUGUCUGCGUGGGUUUCCCCUGGAUGCUCCGGUUUCCUCCCACAGUCCAAAGACAUGAAGGUAAGGUGAAUCGGCCAUACUAAAUUGUCCCUAGGUGUGAAUGUUGAAUGUGUGUGUGUGUGUGUGUGUGUGUGUGUGUGUGGACCCUAUGAUGGACUGGCGGCCUGUCCAGGGUGUCUCCCUGCCUGCCGCCCAAUGACUACUGGGAUAAGCUCCAGCGUCCCCAUGACCCCGAGAGCAGGAUAAGCGGCUUGGAUAAUGGAUGGAUAAUGGAUGUUGUAGGCAGCGGAAGAAAAACCUGGGGUACCUCGUGAAGCUGAAGACUGACUGAGCUCUCUCUCUCUCUCUCUC